ensembl:lncRNA
AAUAUUUAGAUAUUUUAGUUUUGUGGAAUAAUGAAAUAGGAAGCUUCCAGAAAAGUUCUUCUGCUAUUUAAAUGCUGAAAAAAUGUAAGGCAUCAUUCUGCUACACAAACUAAAAAAAAUAAAAAAAAAAUGUGCAGUUGUAUUUCUCUGGUUCUGAAUAUUACUACUGUGUCAUAAGUCUUUGCAGGCUGGCUGGUGAGUUAUCAAAGUUUGGAGCAAAUAUAAAUGAUGCUGCAUAAAUCUUCUUUUCUGUUCAGUGGGCAGUUCUGUUGAGUACCCAAAGCUCUGCAGUUCCGGAUACAAACUGGCAGCAACCACAUCCAUAAUUCACAAUUUCUUUUUUCUUAAUAUGAAAUGUAUUUUAAUAUAUUUACUAAAAGGCUUGUCUCAAAUAAAGACCUUGGAUACAGUUAAAAACUAAUCUUAAAAGAUUUUUAAAAGGGUACUGAUAGCUUCUUUUCUUUCUCAAGAUUUAUAUGACAAUACCAGAAAUUUAGUCCAAUGUUUGUGUAUAUUUCUUGUGGAUGCAUAAGCUAUAAAACUAUCAUGUGUGCAAAUGACAUAAAACAAUAUGUUUAUACAACUCUUAUGCUUUAACCAUUCCCUCUCUCUCACCUUAUGCAGUUAAGGCUAAGACAAUAAGCUGGAAACCAAAAGUUCAAACAUGCUAUUCCCCUUAUCACUUUAUAUCUUCAGCGUCUUUUUGUUUCGAGUGCACCAUUUUAACGCUUAGUGAAUGUUCUUCUCUGUAUAUUUGCACAAUAAAUGGUGCAGCCAACACUAUGUCAAUAAAAUAACACAGUAAACUAGCUUUGUGUUGUUACAAAAUUCACUGGCUUAUAAAGGGUUAAUCUUUUCUACUGCCUCUGUAUCAAGUGUUUUUCCAUUUAGCAUUUACUGAUAUGCAAUGCAGUGACAAUUCAAAGGGGUGGAAAAUCAGGGUUCUUUCUGCAGACAACGUGCUUUAGUCCAUUCAUAGCUGGUACUCCAUCUGUUGUUAUAGAAACCAGUUUCAUUAUUAUGACUUCCUGGCUCUCUCUAUCUCUCUCAUCGAGCUAGCUAUUUUAACUACAAUCACUACCAUGAUGUCAAAAGGCUUAACAGU